GUCCACGCCGUAAACGAUGGAUACUAGCUGUUGGAAGCAAUUUCAGUGGCUAAGCGAAAGUGAUAAGUAUCCCACCUGGGGAGUACGUUCGCAAGAAUGAAACUCAAAGGAAUUGACGGGGGCCCGCACAAGCGGUGGAGCAUGUGGUUUAAUUCGAUGAUACGCGAGGAACCUUACCAAGGCUUAAAUGUAGAUUGACCGAUUUGGAAACAGAUCUUUCGCAAGACAAUUUACAAGGUGCUGCAUGGUUGUCGU
rnacentral:rRNA from 1 species